rnacentral:rRNA from 1 species
AUUGAACGCUGGCGGCAGGCCUAACACAUGCAAGUCGAACGAGUGGCGGACGGGUGAGUAAUGUCUGGGACACUGCCUGAUGGAGGGGGAUAACUACUGGAAACGGUAGCCAAACCCGCAUACCAUCGGAUGUGCCCAGAUGGGAUUAGCUAGUAGGUGGGGUAAAGGCUCACCUAGGCGACGAUCCCUAGCUGGUCUGAGAGGAGGACCAGCCACACUGGAACUGAGAAACGGUCCAGACUCCUAUGGGAGGCAGCAGGGGGGAAGAGUGGACAAUGGGCGCAAUCCUGAUGCAGCCAUGCCGCGUGUAUGAAGAAGGCCUUCGGGUUGUAAAGUACUUUCAGCGGGGAGGCGUUACCCGCAGAAGAAGCACCGGCUAACUCCGUGCCAGCCGCCGCGGUAAUUC